rnacentral:ncRNA from 1 species
CUGCCGGCACUGACCGCGUUGUGACCGUUGGUCUGCGUACACAGUGAACAGCUAACUCAGAACUGGAGCGAACAAGGGGAAUCCGACUGUUUAACUAUAACAAAGCAUUGCGAUGGCCGCAAACGGUGCAAUGUGAUUUCUGCCCAGUGCUCUGAAUGCGAAUGUGAUGAAAUUCAAUCGAGCACGGGUUAACGGCGGACCUAACUAUGACGUAGUAGCCUAAGGUAGCCAAAUGCCUUUUCAUCUAAUUAGUGACGUGCAUGAAUGGAUUAACGAGAUUCCCACUGUCCCUAUCUACUAUCUAGCGAAACCACAGCCAAAGACCUAAAGAAAGUUACUGUUUCAGUUUACCAGCGUGGCC